CCCUUAGAUGCUCUGGGCCGCACGUGCGCUACACUGGUCGAUGCAACGAGUUUCUUUCCUUGGCCGACAGGCCUGGGCAAUCUUUGAACAUCGAUCGUGAUCGGGAUAGAUUCUUGUAAUUUUUGAUCUUAAACGAGGAAUUCCUAGUAAACGCAAGUCAUCAGCUUGCAUUGAUUACGUCCCUGCCCUUUGUACACACCGCCCGUCGCACCUACCGAUUGAAUGGUCCGGUGAAAUCUCCGGACUGGCGUGAGUCGGAGCAAUCUGACAAACACCGGAAAGUUGAUUAAACCUUACCAUUUAGAGGAAGGUGAAGUCGUAACA
rnacentral:rRNA from 1 species